rnacentral:sRNA from 2 species
CAUAAAACUGGACAAGCCGUGACAUACCUCAGAGUAAGGAAAAGAAAGGGAACCUUAGAGGGGAGGAGACGCGGGCACUCCCACGAAGGUUCUCUUUGGCACCAUGGCGCCGAAAAGUACGAAGGCCGAGAGGGGAGCGACCGCCGUGAUGGAGGUAUGGUGGAUAUUUGCAUGAUUGUUGCCAUUUUAUUUGCAACCGUUGGUUACCGGUAUCUGACCAACCCAAUCUUAACAUCCAGUUUAGACCAAUAGUGCCAGCAUAGUUUCAAAGCGCAGUGUCGAGCGCAUCUACUAUCCUGAGCCUCACUUUUUCCGCUACUUUGUGAAGAAGCCUCUGAGGCGCUCGCCAUUGGUCAAUCGCGGUUACUGGCUGCGCAUGCGUGCUGUGGAAAGCAUGGUGCGGAGGUUUCUCGAAGGACCGUCGGGACAUCAGAAAGUUGUUGUGAAUCUAGGCUGUGGCUUGUGAGUUGCUAACAGGCGGUUGUACCAGACAGUCUAGAAAGGUCUCGAAAUUCAUAUGUACAGUACAUACAUGCUAAUAUAAGAUUAUAUGGGCUUUAUAUGAAGCGAUCCACUUCCAUUUCAAUUCCUGAACCGAGACGCUGCUCUGUGCCAAAAUGCCAAAUUCAUUGAUGUCGACCACCACAAGCUGAUGGUCAAAAAAAGAGAUAUAAUAACCCAAUGCCCUGCACUACGGGACCUUCUUUCGGAUGCCCAAUUGACACCAGAAACAGAUAGUAUCCUUUUGCGAAGCAAAGAAUAUGUUGGUAUCGGGUGCGAUCUCGGAGAUCUUUCAGAACUAGAUGCCGCAUUAAGCGGCGUGAUAGGCUUAGAUCAAGCUUCGAUCCUUUGCAUAGCUGAAGUGUCAAUAACUUACAUGGAAGUUGAGCUAGCGGACGCCCUUAUUAGGUUUAUGCCAAAGCUAAGUAAUGAUGUAAAUUUCUGUUUGCUGGAGCAGUAUUUCCCAGAGGGGCCACACCAUCCAUUUGCGGCUGUAAUGAUGAAAGAUUUCUUAAAGCUCCAAUGCCCGUUACAUUCAGUCCAUAAAUACCCUUCGCUCCGCCAGCAGGAACAGCGAUUUCGUGGAUCUGGUUGGACAAACGCGAAAGCAACAAACUUAUGGGAACUCUGGAACGACCCAACAUUCGUUACUGAAGAUGAGAGGCUAUCCCUUGAUUCAAUCGAGGCUUUUGAUGAGUGGGAAGAGUUCGCCCUCUUCGCCUCACAUCAUUUUCUGCUUUCUGCUAGCAUUCGUAAGACGGCGGCAGAAUCAGAACCUCCAGAUGGGUUGGGAAAAGCUCUGAUAGAGCCAAGUCCGUUGACACUGACUCCUUUGUGCUCUCCGAAGCUCACCAGCAAGCGACGAUUCGGCGCAAUACUCCCUACUUCCGCUAAUACGUUCGGAUUUCACGGUGGCCUAGGUCAACAAACUCGACUCUCUUCGACUGAUGAAUAUACGGUAUCAAAAAGUAAGACGGCAAGUGGUGAAAUGCCACCACUUGAUGUGGAACCUCGAAUGUGCCACACUAUAACUCAAUUUUAUGGGCAGGAUUGUCUUCUUGUAGGAGGCAGGGCUGCUCCUAAAAAGGUUAUGGCUGAUUGUUGGCUAAGGCAUUCUAGACGAUGGAAUCGAACUGAUAGCCUUCCAACUCCACUUUAUAGGCACUGUGCAACUGCGGUGAAUCUUGGAGGGAAUGACGCUUAUGUACUCAUCUACGGCGGCAAAACUAAUAACGGUGACGUUUCGGGUAAAUGGUUCUUAUGGAAUGUGUCGAAAGGUUGGCAGGAGGCUACUGUAGCCAACCAGUCUCCUACAGCAAGAUUUGGGGCGUCAAUUGUGAAUAUCGACGGACAGUCUGGAGUGGUAUUUGGAGGCAUGUCACGAUACGCCGUCGUGCUGGAUGACUUCUGGACCUGGAAACUAGUAAAAUCCAGUGAUGGACGGAUACAUGUCGAGUUAAAUAACCUCACAGAAACCAUAGGUGCUUCCAGUCCCCUCGAUAAAUGGCUAGGACGUUUUGGGGCAUCAAUAACCACAACGGCAAGGGGUUGCUUUAUAAUUGGGGGGGUAGCCAAGCAUUGCUGCAUACCCCAGGCCUAUGAAAUAAUGCUUCUGAAUAAAAAUGCGCUGGAUGGGUUGGUUCUUGCUCCCAAUAUCCCUCUUUUGACAGCUGUUGACUUGGACCUUGAAUCCAUCGGACCAAGACCACUCCUUGUUGGUCACUCCUCUUGCAAAGUUGGUGAUGACGAUGUACUCAUUGUUGGCGGCGGUGCUCUUUGUUUCUCAUUUGGAAUAUAUUGGAACGAAAGCACUUGGUUAUUGCAGAGCGCAAAAUCUAAAGCUAUCAACGGGUGGAGUCUUUGCGAACCGUCAACUAACGGACUCGAUGCUAACCCGCUGGAGGAGGUAUCUACUACAAGAGUAGAUGACCGGCCAAAUACAAAUUCCCCUGAGAUGGAGAUAAUCCCCCGAAUCAACAUUUCGACGCCUCAAGAGUUUCAGAGAGUUGUUGACAAGGCAAAGCCUGUUAUUCUUAGCGGCCUUGAUCUCGGCUCAUGUGUGAAAACUUGGAGGAAAGAAUACCUCGAGAAGGCUAUCGGGCGUGAUCGCAAGGUAGUGGUACAUGAAGCAAAAUCCGAAAAUAUGAAUUUCCAGACUAAGAACUUCUCAUACAUCACAAAGGAAUUUGGGAAGUUCAUCGAUGAAAUUUAUGAUGGCUCCCGACAAUACCUCCGCUCGGUCUCCUCUGUAAACCCUAUGGAACAACCUGCGAAUCUAGCCCAGGACUUCCCCGGUCUUCAAGGUGAUUUCCAUCUUCCGCCCGAACUGUCGUUUGUUUCAGAGAAUGCCCACAGCUUUCCUCUGAGGUUAUCCGGGCCUGUUAUUUUAUGGCUCCAUUAUGAUGUCAUGGCAAAUGUCCUCUGCCAAAUACAAGGUGAUAAGCGACUUAUCCUAUAUCCGCCAUCGGACGUGCUGCGUCUGGGUUUCGCUCCUGGAGCUUCAAGCUCAUCAAUCAAUAUCUUCAAAAAUAUGUCGGAUACUUCUCCGUACUCCCCACCAAACACCCAUCCUCAUGAAGCUCGCCUCAGGCCAGGAGAUGUCCUUUUCAUUCCACCACUCUGGCCUCAUACUGCGAAUCCAAUCAAUGGAGUGAGCAUAGCUGUCAAUGCGUUUUUCCGGAAUAUUGAUAGAGGUUACGCGGCGGGCCGGGACGUGUACGGGAACAGAGAUCUACAGGCAUAUGAGAGGGGUCGGAUGGAGGUGGACAAAAUCGCACGGUCUUUUGAUGGCCUUCCCCGUGAUAUGGCUCGGUUUUAUAUGGAUCGGCUUGCUGAUGAGCUCAGACGGAAAGCACAUCCAUGACCUGAAGGGAAGCCGCAGGUCUGGGCCUAUCUGUUAACUAAAUACACACGCUUCCCCUCUUUCGCAUUGGCGGAUAUGGAUUGCAUGUGGUGUGCGGCUCAAUGUGCUUAGCGCUAUGUAUGUGUCAUGGAUACGAUGCACUUUCAAUCUCAAGUGGGUUUGACGUAAGCAUCGUCAACAACCUUAACUAUAACGUUACAUGUGGUUUUGUUACUCCAAGCUUGGCCUUUUCUGCUACUUGACCCGACUAUCAAUCGAACCUGGUAGAUGGAUAUCUGUUGGGAAAAUUUCAUUGACUUCUCGAAUUAUGAUCGAUGCAUUCGUUGACGACCUGGUCAAUGACAAUAUUUUGCGAAUAACCCUUCCAUCCUUCGGCCUCUUUCUUCUCUAUGCAAUCUUCCAUAUCUACACCUCCAAUUGAUUGUGAUUUUCCCUCCUGUGUUUGAAUGAGGAAAAUAUGGUUGUUUCCUCAAAAGCCCUAUCCACGGAGCACGCCAAUCAGUGCUAUUUGUUUCACGAUAUCAAAGACUGAGGAAUGGAUUUAUAGAUAUUCAAAUACACUUGCUGCACCUUCAGAAGAGCCAACUACUGAAGAUACCUAGGCCUAGUUAUAACUGGAGAUACAGAGAUUAUACAAUGCAAUAAUUUCAUCAGAUGAUGCUAUCCCAUUCAGAAUGCCACAGUGUAUCCAAGGCGCUGGAGACAAGUCUGAAUUUCGGGGGAUAUGGACUGGUGGGACGGACCCAUGCAUGAAUCUAGAGCCAGGUAAGCUGGGGUGAGGGGCGUUUAGGAUGGUGGAAAGUUGAUAUAGACAGCGGACUUAGAAAUACUCGAGGACUUCGUUCGAAGCAUCGAUCGAUGGUGUGUGAUAUUCAGUUUGACAGUUUCACACGAAGUUUGAGGCUCAUGGACCGAUGUAGGAUAUCAGUUUUGAGAAGUUGAAAUGUAGGAAACCGCAAAUACC